rnacentral:lncRNA from 1 species
UGAUGGUGCGAGGCUGAGAGAGGCUCGAUGGUGCAUCAGCCGAGAGGUAUCUCAGGAAAAUAGCUGGGAGUAUCCUGAGUUCGAUCAGGUGGAGCGGCCGUGAUAGAUAGGGAUAGACUGGGAGCGCCAGGGGCAUCUCAGGGAGAUCGGGGAGCAGAUCUCAGGAAGAGCCGAGGUCUCAGGGAGUGCCAGAGGCAUCAUACAGUCG